UACCAGCACCCCGAGUGGUCGGGACGAUUAUUGGGCCUAAAGCAUCCGUAGCCGGUCAUGCAAGUCCUCCGUUAAAUCCACCUGCUUAACAGAUGGGCUGCGGAGGAUACUACAAGGCUAGGAGGCGGAAGAGGCAAGCGGUACUCAGUGGGUAGGGGUAAAAUCCUCUGAUCCAUUGAGGACCACCAGUGGCGAAGGCGGCUUGCCAAUACGCGCUCGACGGUGAGGGAUGAAAGCUGGGGGAGCAAACCGG
rnacentral:rRNA from 1 species